GGCUGCAGCCGUUCCGAACCUUGCCCGUUUUAACAUCUCUUGAGCUCAGCUAGAGAAGACGGCCCCUUCCCCGAACUCCUGCUCAGGCCCCAUACCCCUGCCCAAGCAGCUAUGGUUUAAAAGCCUCAUGAGUCAUGGAGGGACUCACCCUCGUCGGCUGUGUGCCCCUGUCCAGCAACAUCAGACUCCAGGGCUCCCUCCCCGCAGCCUGGUUUUUCAGGAAACCCCUGGUGCCAGGGGGCUUUCAGAGCCCUCCUCGCCGGGGACCAUGGCUCCUGCUUCAAUACCUGGGGAGGGAGAUCCCCCAGCUUCCCUAAUGCUCUGGCCCCUUUUGUUCCAGCCAGGCACCAAGAGAAAAAUGCAGCUUCCUCCUGGAAACAAGGGCUCCCUCCCGCAGGCUUUCCCGAGGCCGGGUUCAAAAGGCCCAUGUUCACCUGAGUUUUAGGAUCUGCCAAAACCCAAAAGUCACCAUCUAAAAACAACUCCAAAGAAAGAUACGUAUCACCCCCGUUUUACAGAUGAAGAAACUGAGACUCGAGAUCACACCGCUGUUACGUGUGGGGAGACGAUUUUCCACGGGUCUCUCACAUUUUUCUGUAUAUCUUGUGAGCCAAGAUGCCGACCGCCUUUGCUCUGAUCUUUAUAAAGAUGUUUGCCCGGUGAA